rnacentral:piRNA from 1 species
UCCUUUUCGGUCCCUCCAACAUCUGGCUUA